rnacentral:rRNA from 2 species
GUGACCUCAAAUCAGGUAGGACUACCCGCUGAACUUAAGCAUAUCAAUAAGCGGAGGAAAAGAAACUAACAAGGAUUCCCCUAGUAACUGCGAGUGAAGCGGGAAAAGCUCAAAUUUAAAAUCUGGCAGUCUCCGGCUGUCCGAGUUGUAAUCUAGAGAAGUGUUAUCCGCGUUGGACCGUGUACAAGUCUCCUGGAAUGGAGCAUCAUAGAGGGUGAGAAUCCCGUCUUUGACACGGACUGCCAGGGCUUUGUGAUGCGCUCUCAAAGAGUCGAGUUGUUUGGGAAUGCAGCUCAAAAUGGGUGGUAAAUUCCAUCUAAAGCUAAAUAUUGGCGAGAGACCGAUAGCGAACAAGUACCGUGAGGGAAAGAUGAAAAGAACUUUGGAAAGAGAGUUAAACAGUACGUGAAAUUGCUGAAAGGGAAACGCUUGAAGUCAGUCGCGUUGAUCAGGGAUCAACCUUGCUUUUGCUUGGUGCACUUUCUGGUUAAUGGGUCAGCAUCAAUUUUGACCAUUGGAAAAAGGUCAGGGGAAUGUGGCAUCUUCAGAUGUGUUUAUAGCCCUUGGUUGCAUACAAUGGUUGGGAUUGAGGAACUCACGCACGC